rnacentral:rRNA from 1 species
UACGAGGUGGACAACCGUUAUUCGGAUUUACUGGGCUUAAAGCGUGCGUAGGCGGCUCAGAAAGUUGGGUGUGAAAGCCCUCGGCUCAACCGAGGAAUUGCGCUCAAAACUACUGAGCUCGAGUGAGAUAGGGGAGAGCGGAACUGAUGGUGGAGCGGUGAAAUGCGUUGAUAUCAUCAGGAACACCGGUGGCGAAGGCGGCUCUCUGGAUCUUUACUGACGCUGAGGCACGAAAGCUAGGGGAGCAAACGGG